rnacentral:rRNA from 1 species
GACGAACGCUGGCGGCGUGCCUAAUACAUGCAAGUAGAACGCUGAAGGAGGAGCUUGCUUCUCUGGAUGAGUUGCGAACGGGUGAGUAACGCGUAGGUAACCUGCCUGGUAGCGGGGGAUAACUAUUGGAAACGAUAGCUAAUACCGCAUAAGAGUAGAUGUCGCAUGACAUUUGCUUAAAAGGUGCAAUUGCAUCACUACCAGAUGGACCUGCGUUGUAUUAGCUAGUUGGUGAGGUAACGGCUCACCAAGGCAACGAUACAUAGCCGACCUGAGAGGGUGAUCGGCCACACUGGGACUGAGACACGGCCCAGACUCCUACGGGAGGCAGCAGUAGGGAAUCUUCGGCAAUGGACGGAAGUCUGACCGAGCAACGCCGCGUGAGUGAAGAAGGGUUUCGGAUCGUAAAGCUCUGUUGUAAGAGAAGAACGAGUGUGAGAGUGGAAAGUUCACACUGUGACGGUAUCUUACCAGAAAGGGACGGCUAACUACGUG